CCUUGUCCCAUCCAUCCCCUCAGCCACCGCCACCUGCUGUCUCCCACUUCGGGAUCCCCAGAUGCAAGCCGAGCCAACCAUCGAGCCCCUCCCGAUCCACUUGCAGCCAACCAGAUCGAGCCAUCCACCACCAUGCACGAAGCUCCCCGCCAGCCCGUGCAACCUCUCUCGCACCGAAGCCGCAGGAGCAAUCGGCUCCAUCGCUGAACCGUAGCUCAGCCCACCGUCGUUCAUGCGUUGUUGACCGCGCCCCUGCAGAAGCUUGAAGCCACGACCGAGCCUGCCCACCGCGUUAGCUCUCAGCCUCCCAUCCUCACCUAUCGGGGCCCCUGCUCCGUCGCGUUGCUGCAGGAGCGGCGAGCCAGCGCUGUUCGCCUCUGCAUCGGACAGAGCGGCUCCAAACAGCCAGCUCAGGCCCAAGGUAAGAAUCGAGCAGCCCCUGCGCUCCAUCCCCAUGCCCGCCGGACCAGGCCAUAAGCUCCCCCGUUGCCUCACUGUCUGUCCUUCCUCUCUCUCCCCGUUCCAUCUCCCAGCUCUCUCUUUUCUCUUGUUCACAGGAACUGGGAAUGGCUCUGUCUGUGCUUCUAUGAGAGCUUGACACCGCACCUUGGAGGAGCCAUGGGAGCAUCGUCCUCCUUGCAUCCGGGCGGAUCCGAAGUCUCAACGCUGGACCCCGCCGUCUCUGUUGCUCCCUGGCCUCCCGCCCUGCAAGCCCCGCCGCCGCGUGCUGCAUCUAAUGGUGUGAUCGGCAUGAGUUCAACGGAAACCAAGUCUCGGCCAUCGGUUUAGUUUAAAUUGCGUAGCGCCCAUUGUUGUACACAAGUACAGUUUUGGUGAAGUGGUUAGCUCCAUUGGUUAACAUCCAGGAGUCUUGGGUUCAAAUCCCACACAAUCCUAUUUUCCUUUUUGGUCCUUUUCCAAUGGACCCCGCCGCGUGCUCCAUUGGUUCAAGUAGGCUUCAUAGAAAGCAAAACCCUGCUUCGUUCAUAGUCUCUUCGUAGCCCAGCUCUUCAGUGAGCAGCGCUAGCACCACGGAGGUCGUGGGUUCAAAUCGAAGACGCUCCAAUUUUUUUGCUUGUUCCUGACUAGGCCACUUGUUACGCACACUCAGCCUCUCAGGCUUGAUCCAAUUCUGGACGCUACACUAUGUUGCAAUUCAGCCCAUCCAUAUAUUUUGUUCUACUGUGAUUCUAUCAAAUUCGAUUCAUGCAUUGUUGUAUGAGUUGUGAUGUUACCUGUUUCGUAGAUGCCAUGUUAAUUGCACGUACCUCAUAUUCAUGCCUCCGGCACAUGGGAAUCCGGUAACCGGGACCACUCCAUCAUUCUUUGGCAUGACACGCAUACACUCCCAAUUCGUUUGCACCGGUAAUUCAUCGAGUUAUCGGAACCGGAACGUGUCAUUACUGUCAUUUCCAUGCAUUUUGCAUCCAUGUCAUAUGAUCUUAUGUUGCUCGUAUCUCUUAGGACGUAACUCUGUUUGCAAUGUUAUAUAUUUGUAAAUUGACUAGAAUGCCGUGUAGAAUCGCAUGCUUCACCUCUUGCCAUGUUAACAACAUUUUAAUAUUGCCGUGUACCUAAACAAGAGAGAACUAAAUAUUUGAAUGUGGAGUAUCGUCAAUAUGCAACUCGUUGCAUAUUGAGCUUCACUUAUUGUGUAGUGUUUAAUUGUUGUGAAUUGCCAUGCCAUGCCUUGCAUAAUUAAACCGAGCAUGC
rnacentral:lncRNA from 1 species